rnacentral:rRNA from 1 species
AUGGUCAAGUUCUGCAUCCAUGCUGAGAUCCCCUUUCUUAAGUUUGAAGAUCCAUACCUUCAACCAUGGAUUGACUCAAUGGAGCCAACAUUUCAAGUCAUGGGUCGUCACACGAUUCACGAUGAUGCAGUGAAGAUGUACAAGGGAAUGAAGAAAGAUAUCGAAGUUGAGUUACAAAAUUUGGAUUCUCGCAUUUGCUUAACAUCUGAUAUGUGGACUUCAUCACAGAGCUUGGGCUACAUGUCCAUCACCGCCCACUAUAUCAAUGCAGAAUUCAUCUACAAGAAGAAGAUCAUAAGUUUCGCAUAG